rnacentral:tRNA from 1 species
UUUGAUUUGGCAGAUUUAAUGCCGUUGAUUUAGGAUCAGCUUAUAACUUUUAAGUUAGUCGGAG